rnacentral:rRNA from 1 species
GAUGAACGCUGGCGGCGUGCCUAAUACAUGCAAGUCGAGCGAACAGAUGAGGAGCUUGCUCCUCUGACGUUAGCGGCGGACGGGUGAGUAACACGUGGAUAACCUACCUAUAAGACUGGGAUAACUUCGGGAAACCGGAGCUAAUACCGGAUAAUAUAUUGAACCGCAUGGUUCAAUAGUGAAAGACGGUUUUGCUGUCACUUAUAGAUGGAUCCGCGCCGCAUUAGCUAGUUGGUAAGGUAACGGCUUAACAAGGCAACGAUGCGUAGCCGACCUGAGAGGGUGAUCCGCCACCCUGGAACGGAGACACGGUCCAGACUCCUACGGGAGGCAGCAGUAGGGAAUCUUCCGCAAUGGGCGAAAGCCUGACGGAGCAACGCCGCGUGAGUGAUGAAGGUCUUCGGAUCGUAAAACUCUGUUAUUAGGGAAGAACAAAUGUGUAAGUAACUAUGCACGUCUUGACGGUACCUAAUCAGAAAGCCACGGCUAACUACGUG